GAUGAAGAACGCAGCGAAAUGCGAUAAGUAGUGUGAAUUGCAGAAUUCAGUGAAUCAUCGAAUCUUUGAACGCACAUUGCGCCUCCUGGCAUUCCGGGAGGCAUGCCUGUUCGAGCGUCAUCAAACCCCAUCGUGCAAAUGAAUUAUUUUUUUUGCGCGGAAGUGACGAUUGAGCGAGAAUAACAAAUCCUCUCGCACCUCGUCGAAAUGAUUGCGGGCGGAAUUUGGGAUCGGGUUCCUCGGCGUAGUGUAUCAAUGCAUAUUUAUGCAACUUGCCGCGGAGUUGAGCCUGACCCACGCGUUCUCGCCGUACAAACACCUCAUUACUUUACAAGUUUUUGACCUCGGAUCAGGUAGGGAUACCCGCUGAACUUAAGCAUAUAAUAAGCGGAGGA
rnacentral:misc_RNA from 1 species